CCCUUAGAUGUUCUGGGCCGCACGCGCGCUACACUGAUUCAUGCAACGAGUUUUGUCCUUGGCUGAAAGGCCUGGGUAAUCUUUGAACGUGAAUCGUGCUGGGGAUAGAUGAUUGCAAUUAUUCAUCUUCAACGAGGAAUUCCUAGUAAACGCAAGUCAUCAGCUUGCAUUGAUUACGUCCCUGCCCUUUGUACACACCGCCCGUCGCACCUACCGAUUGAAUGGUCCGGUGAAAUCUUCGGAUCUGAGAGAUGUUGGAUUAAUUUCUGACGCCUUUUGGAAAAGUCGCUUAAACCUUAUCAUUUAGAGGAAGGUGAANUCGUAACA
rnacentral:rRNA from 1 species